AUGUUGAUCUCCUGGCAGUCCCCACAAUGCAUAGCAAUAUGGGGGCAGCGAAGCAGUGGGGACGGGGGGUUGGGAGGGGGGGGGGGGUGUACUCUGUACUUGUCAGCUGUCUCAACAUUGAGUGAACAGCAUGGCACGUCUCUGCCAGGCCCAUUUGGAGGCUAUGUGUGCAAAGGGAACCUACUGUUACCUUAUGAAAUGCACUGUCACAGCACUGUCAACCAAUAUUGUGUCUCCAUGACAGGAGGAGUUUGUAACUUGCUUUGGUUGUCGAGGAAGAGAGGGAGAGGAGGAGGUGAGGGGGAGGUGGGGAC
rnacentral:lncRNA from 13 species